AGGGAUCAUUACCGAGUUUACAACUCCCAAACCCAAUGUGAACCAUACCAAACUGUUGCCUCGGCGGGGUCACGCCCCGGGUGCGUCGCAGCCCCGGAACCAGGCGCCCGCCGGAGGGACCAACCAAACUCUUUUCUGUAGUCCCCUCGCGGACGUUAUUUCUUACAGCUCUGAGCAAAAAUUCAAAAUGAAUCAAAACUUUCAACAACGGAUCUCUUGGUUCUGGCAUCGAUGAAGAACGCAGCGAAAUGCGAUAAGUAAUGUGAAUUGCAGAAUUCAGUGAAUCAUCGAAUCUUUGAACGCACAUUGCGCCCGCCAGUAUUCUGGCGGGCAUGCCUGUCCGAGCGUCAUUUCAACCCUCGAACCCCUCCGGGGGGUCGGCGUUGGGGACCUCGGGAGCCCCUAAGACGGGAUCCCGGCCCCGAAAUACAGUGGCGGUCUCGCCGCAGCCUCUCCUGCGCAGUAGUUUGCACAACUCGCACCGGGAGCGCGGCGCGUCCACGUCCGUAAAACACCCAACUUCUGAAAUGUUGACCUCGGAUCAGGUAGGAAUACCCGCUGAACUUAAGCAUAU
rnacentral:rRNA from 1 species